UACGUAGGUGGCAAGCGUUGUCCGGAAUUAUUGGGCGUAAAGCGCGCGCAGGCGGUCCUUUAAGUCUGAUGUGAAAGCCCACGGCUCAACCGUGGAGGGUCAUUGGAAACUGGGGGGACUUGAGUGCAGAAGAGGAAAGCGGAAUUCCACGUGUAGCGGUGAAAUGCGUAGAGAUGUGGAGGAACACCAGUGGCGAAGGCGGCUUUCUGGUCGUGUAAAC
rnacentral:rRNA from 1 species